rnacentral:rRNA from 1 species
UGGGGAAUUUUGCACAAUGGGGGAAACCCUGAUGCAGCGACGCCGCGUGAUUUAGAAGGCCUUCGGGUUGUAAAAAUCUUUUCUAUGGGAAGAAAAUGACAGUACCAUAGGAAUAAGGACCGGCUAAUUACGUGCCAGCAGCCGCGGUAAUACGUAAGGUCCGAGCGUUUUCCGGAAUCAUUGGGCGUAAAGGGUACGUAGGCGGGUAAGAAAGUUAGAAGUGAAAUCCUAUAGCUCAACUAUAGUAAGCUUUUAAAACUGCUCAUCUUGAGGUAUGGAAGGGAAAAUGGAAUUCCUAGUGUAGCGGUGAAAUGCGCAGAUAUUAGGAGGAGUACCGGUGGCGAAGGCGACUUUCUGGCCAUAACCUGACGCUGAGGUACGAAAGCGUGGGUAGCAAGCAGG